AUUGUCAAUGAAAAGGAGUCGUAGAUUUUAUUUUUAUUUUUAUUUUUAUUUGUACAUAGACGGUAAGAGUUCACACCUAAAUUCAAUCUCAUCAGGAUGAUAGGUAUCGUUUGUUGGAGUAUAAUUCAAAUUUUUCUACAUAUAUAAACAUUAUAUUAAAAUAACUAAUCUAUUCUAAGCCUAGAAAAUCUGCUCAGUUGAAUAGCACAGUUGAUUAUGUUAUGUGGCUGUAGACUUAGAUGUAUUGGUGUCGAAUCCUGAAAUGCACAAUGAUUUCGC
rnacentral:lncRNA from 1 species